rnacentral:rRNA from 1 species
CGCUCCUACCGAUUGAAUGAUCCGGUGAAAUCUUCGGACUGCGGCUGAGGCGGUUCGCCGUCGAUGCUGCGGGAAGUUGAUUAAACCUUAUCAUUUAGAGGAAAGAGAAGUCGUAACAAGGUU